CCUACGGGUGGCUGCAGUGGGGAAUAUUGGGCAAUGGGCGCAAGCCUUAUCCAGCAAUACCGCGUGAGUGAAGAAGGUCUUCGGAUUGUAAAGCUCUUUGGUCAGGGACGAAGAGAUUACGGUACCUGAAGAACAAGCCCCGGCUAACUACGUGACAGCAGCCGCGGUAAAACGUUGGGGGCGAGCGUUGUCCGGCAUGACUGGGCGUAAGGGGUGGGUAGGCGGGAUAAUAAGUUAGAAGUGAAAUACCCAGGGCUUAACUCGGGUGCUGCUUCUAAGACUGUUGAGCUUGAGUGCGGGAGAGGUUAAUGGAAUUCCUAGUGUAGCGGUGGAAUGCGUAGAUAUUAGGAGGAACACCAGAGGCGAAGGCGAUUAACUGGACCGUAACUGACGCUGAGGCACGAAAGUGUGGGUAGCAAACAGGAUUAGAUACCCCAGUAGUC
rnacentral:rRNA from 1 species